rnacentral:rRNA from 1 species
AUUGAACGCUGGCGGCAGGCCUAACACAUGCAAGUCGAGCGGAUGAAGGGAGCUUGCUCCUGGAUUCAGCGGCGGACGGGUGAGUAAUGCCUAGGAAUCUGCCUGGUAGUGGGGGAUAACGUCCGGAAACGGGCGCUAAUACCGCAUACGUCCUGAGGGAGAAAGUGGGGGAUCUUCGGACCUCACGCUAUCAGAUGAGCCUAGGUCGGAUUAGCUAGUUGGUGGGGUAAAGGCCUACCAAGGCGACGAUCCGUAACUGGUCUGAGAGGAUGAUCAGUCACACGGGAACUGAGACACAGCCCAGACUCCUACGGGAGGCAGCAGUGGGGAAUAUUGGACGAUGGGCGAGAGCCUGAUCCAGCCAAGCCGCGUGUGUGAAGAAGGUCUUCGGAUUGGAAAGCACUUUAAGUUGGGAGGAAGGGCAGUAAGUUAAUACCUUGCUAUUUUGACGGUACCAACAGAAUAAGCACCGGCUAACUUCGUG